GGUAAACGACAAAGUCCAAUGUCAAUGCAGAUUUUGUUCAUAAUUAUUACUUAUCUUAGCUCUUCAGCCACGCUGCCUUGUCAGUAAAGUAUGGGACAGGAAGGGCUUUGUGCCAUUGGCUACAUUUCUUUCUCCUCCGCCAGGUGGCUGAAGACGAAGUGAGUGAUAACAGUGCCGAGUGUGUGGUGUGUCUCUCGGAUGUCCGGGACACCUUGAUUCUGCCCUGUCGCCACCUCUGCCUCUGUAACACCUGUGCAGACACGCUGCGCUACCAGGCCAACAACUGUCCCAUCUGCCGACUGCCCUUCCGGGCACUGCUUCAGAUCCGAGCCAUGAGGAAAAAAUUGGGCCCCUUGUCCCCAACCAGCUUUAACCCCAUCAUCUCAUCC
rnacentral:sRNA from 1 species